rnacentral:rRNA from 1 species
GAUGAACGCUGGCGGCGUGCCUAAUACAUGCAAGUCGAGCGAAUGGAUUAAGAGCUUGCUCUUAUGAAGUUAGCGGCGGACGGGUGAGUAACACGUGGGUAACCUGCCCAUAAGACUGGGAUAACUCCGGGAAACCGGGGCUAAUACCGGAUAACAUUUUGAACCGCAUGGUUCGAAACUGAAAGGCGGCUUCGGCUGUCACUUAUGGAUGGACCCGCGUCACAUUAGCUAGUUGGUGAGGUAACGGCUCACCAAGGCAACGAUGCGUAGCCGACCUGAGAGGGUGAUCGGCCACACUGGGACUGAGACACGGCCCAGACUCCUACGGGAGGCAGCAGUAGGGAAUCUUCCGCAAUGGACGAAGGUCUGACGGAGCAACGCCGCGUGAGUGAUGAAGGCUUUCGGGUCGUAAAACUCUGUUGUUAGGGAAGAACAAGUGCUAGUUGAAUAAGCUGGCACCUUGACGGUACCUAACCAGAAAGCCACAGCUAACUACGUGCCAGCCGCCGCAGUAA